AUACUUACCUGGCAGGGCAGAUACCAUGAUCACGAAGGUGGUUUUCCCAGGGCGAGGCUUAUCCAUUGCACUCCGGAUGUGCUGACCCCUGCGAUUUCCCCAAAUGUGGGAAACUCGACCGCAUAAUUUGUGGUAGUGGGGGACUGCGUUCGCGCUCUCCCCUG
rnacentral:snRNA from 1 species